UGAUUGGAUCCAGACUUUGAUUCUGGCUCAGGAUGAACGCUGGCGGCGUGCCUAAUACAUGCAAGUCGAACGAAUCUUCUUCGGAAGAUGAGUGGCGAACGGGUGAGUAAUACAUAGGUAACCUGCCCCUGUGCGGGGGAUAACAGGAGGAAACUCCUGCUAAUACCGCAUAGCCAUGAGCACCGCAUGGAGCUCAUGCCAAAUAUCCUUCAGGGGAUAGCGCAGGGAUGGACCUAUGGCGCAUUAGCUAGUUGGCGGGGCAACGGCCCACCAAGGCAACGAUGCGUAGCCGGCCUGAGAGGGCGGACGGCCACAUUGGGACUGAGACACGGCCCAGACUCCUACGGGAGGCAGCAGUAGGGAAUUUUCGGCAAUGGGGGAAACCCUGACCGAGCAACGCCGCGUGAGCGAAGAAGGCCUUCGGGUCGUAAAGCUCUGUUGUAAAGGAAGAACGUCGCAUGCAGGAAAUGGUGUGCGAGUGACGGUACUUUACCAG
rnacentral:rRNA from 1 species